UACAGAGGGUGCAAGCGUUAAUCGGAAUUACUGGGCGUAAAGCGUGCGUAGACGGUUGCGUAAGUCAGAUGUGAAAGCCCCGGGCUCAACCUGGGGAAUUGCAUUUGAGACUGCGUAGCUAGGGUGCGGAAGAGGGAAGCGGAAUUUCCGGUGUAGCGGUGAAAUGCGUAGAUAUCGGAAGGAACACCAGUGGCGAAAAGCGGCUUCCUGGUCCAGCACCGACGUCAGGCACGAAAGCGUGGGGAGCGAACAGG
rnacentral:rRNA from 1 species